rnacentral:rRNA from 1 species
GUGAACGCUGGCGGUAGGCCUAACACAUGCAAGUCGAACGGCAGCACAGUAAGAGCUUGCUCUUACGGGUGGCGAGUGGCGGACGGGUGAGGAAUACAUCGGAAUCUACUUUUUCGUGGGGGGUAACGUAGGGAAACUUACGCUAAUACCGCAUACGACCUACGGGUGAAAGCAGGGGAUCUUCGGACCUUGCGCGAUUGAAUGAGCCGAUGUCGGAUUAGCUAGUUGGCGGGGUAAAGGCCCACCAAGGCGACGAUCCGUAGCUGGUCUGAGAGGAUGAUCAGCCACACUGGAACUGAGACACGGUCCAGACUCCUACGGGAGGCAGCAGUGGGGAAUAUUGGACAAUGGGCGCAAGCCUGAUCCAGCCAUACCGCGUGGGUGAAGAGGGCCUUCGGGUUGUAAAGCCCUUUUGUUGGGAAAGAAAAGCAGCAGGUUAAUACCCCGCUGUUCUGACGGUACCCAAAGAAUAAGCACCGGCUAACUUCGUG